UUAAGACUAAGACGUAGAUAGGCAUGGUGUGUAAGCGGUGCGAGCCGUUGAGCUAACAUGUACUAAUUGCCCGAGAGGCUUAACUAUACAACGCUCAAGGGUUUUG
rnacentral:rRNA from 1 species